rnacentral:rRNA from 1 species
UAGGGAAUCUUCGGCAAUGGGGGGAACCCUUACCGAGCAACGCCGCGUGAGUGAAGAAGGUUUUCGGAUCGUAAAGCUCUGUUGUUAAGGAAGAACGAGUGUGAGAAUGGAAAGUUCAUGCUGUGACGGUACUUAACCAGAAAGGGACGGCUAACUACGUGCCAGCAGCCGCGGUAAUACGUAUGUCCCGAGCGUUGUCCGGAUUUAUUGGGCGUAAAGCGAGCGCAGGCGGUUAGAAAAGUCUGAAGUGAAAGGCAGUGGCUCAACCAUUGUAGGCUUUGGAAACUGUUUGACUUGAGUGCAGAAGGGGAGAGUGGAAUUCCAGGUGUAGGGGUGAAAUGCGUAGAGAUAUGGAGGAACACCGGUGGCGAAAGCGGCUCUCUGGUCUGUAACUGACGCUGAGGCUCGAAAGCGUGGGGAGCGAACAGG